AUUAUAUUUGGUGGCAACUUAGUUGUUGACUUUGAUCUGUAGCUAUUCAGGCUCCUUGUAGCUUAGCUAUUUGCAAAAACACUUUGCCUUUUUUAGACACCAGAGGAACAGUUAGGGUUCCUUAGCGCUGAGCCUGUGCAGUGAGUAACGUGCAGCUGAGAAGCAUAAGACUGACAGCAGUGUUCUCUUCCUUUGUAGUGUGCUGGAACCAAAAUUUGUCAGGGUCAAAGCAUAAUGAUCCUCCAGUUACAGUGCAAGGUCUGUCUAUUGACUCAGGUUUGUGUCUAGAGUAGGAUUCUAUUCUCUGUAUUCUUGUUUUUAAUCUCUCUGUAUGUUUUUAGAGUGUAUUCCACGAGUAAUAAUUUGGACCAAAGCAAAAGAGCUACAAUGCAGCAGAAGAACGCUCCACCUUCUUGGAGUCUUUUCCUUUGUCUUCCUGUUUCCUUAGUACAUUGUUGGCAUGCCGAGGCAAGACACUGCUUUUAUCUUAUGACUGAUGCAAAGCUUCACCAUUAUUUCCGGAUAAUACAGAUGGUAGUAGAAGACUACGUGCACCCCUGGUGCCAGAUGAGUCACUCAGAGAGCAUCUGUGGAGGAGGUAAGAGAGAAACUUUACCCACUUGGCAUCUUCCCAGGGUGGGAAGAGCUCCAGCCAACCUGUGUCUACGUGCAUUGUUGCCACAGGGGAUAACACCCCAAUGGUGCCACACAGGUAUACUUCUCCUGUGACUUUCUAGAGGCCACCAAUAGCAUCUGUGGAAGACAGCACCCAACAGUGGAUCAUUAACUAUCUACUGUCCAGAUUUACCAUCAUUUGUUACAAAUGAGGAGAAUUAAACAGAAAAAAAACAAUGAAACAUGUUUUCUACCCCAUGACAAAACAAACAAACAAACAAACAAAAAGGGGAAUUGUAGUAUAUCCUGGGGCGUAUGGAACUGGAUUAUGGCUCCUAUAUCUGAAGAAGAAAUGAUCAUAGUCACCUUACACUACUCUGUAAUAAAAUAUUUCCUCAAGAAAUAAAAAUAUUUC
rnacentral:lncRNA from 1 species